GGUAGCGCAGCUAACGCGUGAAGUUGACCGCCUGGGGAGUACGGUCGCAAGAUUAAAACUCAAAGGAAUUGACGGGGACCCGCACAAGCGGUGGAUGAUGUGGAUUAAUUCGAUGCAACGCGAAAAACCUUACCUACCCUUGACAUGUCUGGAAUGCCGAAGAGAUUUGGCAGUGCUCGCAAGAGAACCGGAACACAGGUGCUGCAUGGCUGUCGUCAGCUCGUGUCGUGAGAUGUUGGGUUAAGUCCCGCAACGAGCGCAACCCUUGUCAUUAGUUGCUACGAAAGGGCACUCUAAUGAGACUGCCGGUGACAAACCGGAGGAAGGUGGGGAUGACGUCAAGUCCUCAUGGCCCUUAUGGGUAGGGCUUCACACGUCAUACAAUGGUCGGGACAGAGGGUCGCCAACCCGCGAGGGGGAGCCAAUCCCAGAAACCCGAUCGUAGUCCGGAUCGCAGUCUGCAACUCGACUGCGUGAAGUCGGAAUCGCUAGUAAUCGCGGAUCAGCAUGUCGCGGUGAAUACGUUCCCGGGUCU
rnacentral:rRNA from 1 species